CUGCUGCCUCCCGUAGGAGUCUGGUCCGUGUCUCAGUACCAGUGCGGGGGGCCUUCCUCUCAGAACCCCUACGCAUCGUCGCCACGGUGGGCCGUCACCCCGCCGUCUAGCUAAUGCGCCGCAUGCCCAUCCGCCACCGGAUCGCUCCUUUGGCCACCGGAGGAUGCCCUCCGGUGGCGUCACGGGGUAUUAGGCCGCGUUUCCGCGGGUUAUCCCCCUGUGGCGGCCAGGUUGCAUACGUGUUACUCACCCGUGCGCCGGUCGCCGGG
rnacentral:rRNA from 1 species